rnacentral:rRNA from 1 species
UCUACGGGAGGCAGCAGUAGGGAAUAUUGCUCAAUGGGGGAAACCCUGAAGCAGCAACGCCGCGUGGAGGAUGAAGGUUUUCGGAUUUUAAACUCCUUUUGUUAGAGAAGAUAAUUGCGGUAUCUAACCAAUACUCACCGGCUAACUCCGUUCCAGCCGCCGCGGUAAUACGGAGGGUGCAAGCGUUACUCGGAAUCACUGGGCGUAAAGAGCGCGUAGGCGGGAUAGCAAGUCAGAUGUGAAAUCCUAUGGCUUAACCGUAGAACUGCAUUUGAAACUGUUAUUCUAGAGUAUGGGAGAGGUAGGUGGAAUUCGUGGUGUAGGGGUAAAAUCCGUAGAGAUCAAGAGGAAUACUCAUUGCGAAGGCGACCUGCUAGAACGUAACUGACGCUGAUGCGCGAAAGCGUGGGGAGCAAACAGGAUUAGAUACCCUGGUAGUC